UGCAUUUCCUCUUUGUCCGAAGGAACCAGGGGGCUGAGCAGUGGCGCAGUGCCCAACUUCUAAGCCUCAUCAGCAACCCCCCAGCCAUGAUUAACCCUGCUAAUUCAGAUACAUGUCUUACUCUGUCACCCAGGCUGGAGUACACUGGCAUGAUCACUACUUACUGCAGCCUCCACUUCCUGGGCUCAAGUGAUCCUCCCACUUCAGCCUCCUGAGUAGCUGGGACUACAGAUGGCCUGUGAGUAUCUGUCUGUGGAAGUAAUGGAGCGCUGGAUUAUCAUUGGGUUUCUUCUUUGUCAUGGGUGCCUCAACUCCAAUAGCCAGUGCCAGAAGCUGUGGAAGCUGUGUCUGCAGGGCUCCCUGUACAUCACCCUUAUCCGUGAGGAUGUGCUGCAGGUGCACAAAGUCACCGAGGACCUGUUUAGCAGUUUGAAAGGGUAUGGCAAGCGAGUGGCAGACAUAAAGGAGAGCAAGGAACAUGUAAUUGCAAACAGUGGCCAGUUUCAUUGUCAACGGCGGCAAUUUCUGCGGAUGGCAGUGAAGGAGCUGGAGACUGUGUUGGCUGAUGAACCGGGACUACUGGGUCCCAAGGCUCUU
rnacentral:sRNA from 1 species